rnacentral:rRNA from 1 species
ACGGGUGAGUAAUACAUCGGAACGUGCCCAAUCGUGGGGGAUAACGCAGCGAAAGCUGUGCUAAUACCGCAUACGAUCUACGGAUGAAAGCAGGGGAUCGCAAGACCUUGCGCGAAUGGAGCGGCCGAUGGCAGAUUAGGUAGUUGGUGAGGUAAAGGCUCACCAAGCCUUCGAUCUGUAGCUGGUCUGAGAGGACGACCAGCCACACUGGGACUGAGACACGGCCCAGACUCCUACGGGAGGCAGCAGUGGGGAAUUUUGGACAAUGGGCGAAAGCCUGAUCCAGCCAUGCCGCGUGCAGGAUGAAGGCCUUCGGGUUGUAAACUGCUUUUGUACGGAACGAAACGGUCUUUUCUAAUAAAGAAGGCUAAUGACGGUACCGUAAGAAUAAGCACCGGCUAACUACGUGCCAGCAGCCGCGGUAGUACGUAGGGUGCAAGCGUUAAUCGGAAUUACUGGGCGUAAAGCGUGCGCAGGCGGUGAUGUAAGACAGUUGUGAAAUCCCCGGGCUCAACCUGGGAACUGCAUCUGUGACUGCAUCGCUGGAGUACGGCAGAGGGGGAUGGAAUUCCGCGUGUAGCAG